rnacentral:ncRNA from 2 species
AUAUUAGCAAACCUGGGGAAACUCAGCGACGCAAAGCUAUAGGGUCUAAAGCGAAAAGCAUGACAGCCAGUUGCCA